rnacentral:misc_RNA from 1 species
GAUGAAGAACGCAGCAAAAUGCGAUAAGUAAUGUGAAUUGCAGAAUUCAGUGAAUCAUCGAAUCUUUGAACGCACAUUGCGCCCGCCAGUAUUCUGGCGGGCAUGCCUGUUCGAGCGUCAUUUCAACCCUCAAGCACAGCUUGGUGUUGGGACUCGCGUUAAUUCGCGUUCCUCAAAUUGAUUGGCGGUCACGUCGAGCUUCCAUAGCGUAGUAGUAAAACCCUCGUUACUGGUAAUCGUCGCGGCCACGCCGUUAAACCUCAACUUCUGAAUGUUGACCUCGGAUCAGGUAGGAAUACCCGCUGAACUUAAGCAUAUCAAUAAGCGGAGGA